CAUUUAUUUACCUGCAAUUUUUACGACGUACAUUACCGGCAUCGUCUUCCCUCCUGCACCAUGCUUCACCUCAUCUGCUUUGAUCGGCUCUAUUUGGCGAGACGCUUUCUGGAGACAAACUGCUAUGCCGUGAUCCCCUCCUCUGACCCCGCCAGCAGGUCGCACACUCUGGUGGCUAGGAAUACCUCUUGAGUGCCCGCGGAUACCGAUAUGACCAGGGGCAUCAUCACCUUUUUGGUCUUCCGGUUCAUAUAAGCAAGUGUGCGCCUGAUGAUGUCUGUCCAAUUCAGGCGCCUGACCAGCUGACAUCGCGAACUCCCAGCCGGCUCCCGCGCACGGGGCCAAGAGCCAUGUGUGCCUCUCGAGCCAUGAUUCUUGUUGCUUUUUGUCCGACAUUUUGGUCCGGCAACUGCCAUGGCCAUCUUCCUUGCGUCCCCCGCUGUUUUCUCCUCCACUGGUGAUUCCGCCGUAGUUCCUCGUCCUCUGUGACAGCCACUGGCUUGCCUGUCCUGAUGCCGCUGCAACGUUAGUGAUGAUCAGUGAGCUGCAGUGAUCGACGGCGGAGUUGUUGGUUAACGCCAACGGGAAAUAAUGUCAUUCAUUAUUUCCCCCCCAUUCAUAAGCUGCCGAAUGAAACGCUGGGCUUCAGCUUCGAGACGCGGGUUUUUGGAGUCCUUAGCGAAGUAUCAAGGAUAUUUUUCCAAAUACACGAACCUAUGGAACGGCCAGAUCGGCCCACAAAUAACGAAGAAAACAGGAAAAAUAUGACUGCAGAAAAUAUCCUGGAUCUUUGGCCCAUGCCGAUCGGAGUGCGGCAUGUCUUUUCGAGAUCGGGAGGGUCCUGCCAAUCGACUGCCAUCGGAACACCGAUUCGCUUGUUUACCAGGGGCAUAACCUAUUUGGUCUUCCGGUUCAUAUGAGCGAGUGGGUGCUCGAUGACGGCUGUCCACUCCAGGAGUCUAACCGACUGACAUCG
rnacentral:sRNA from 1 species